GCGUAAGAGCGCGUAGGUGGUCUGUCACGUCUGCUGUGAAAGCCCUGGGCUCAACCCGGGAUCUGCAGUGGAUACUGGCCGACUAGAAUGUGGUAGAGGAUACCGGAAUUCCUGGUGUAGCAGUGAAAUGCGCAGAUAUCAGGAGGAACAUCCAUGGCGAAGGCAGCUACCUGGACCUUCAUUGACACUGAGGCACGAAAGCGUGGGGAGCAAACAGGAUUAGAUACCCUGGUAGUCCACGCCCUAAACGAUGCGAACUGGAUGUUGGGUGCAAUUUGC
rnacentral:rRNA from 1 species